CCUACGGGAGGCAGCAGUGAGGAAUAUUGGUCAAUGGACGAGAGUCUGAACCAGCCAAGUAGCGUGAAGGAUGACUGCCCUAUGGGUUGUAAACUUCUUUUAUAUGGGAAUAAAAUGUUCCACGUGUGGGAUUUUGUAUGUACCAUAUGAAUAAGGAUCGGCUAACUCCGUACCAGCAGCCGCGGUAAUACGGAGGAUCCGAGCGUUAUCCGGAUUUAUUGGGUUUAAAGGGAGCGUAGGUGGAUUGUUAAGUCAGUUGUGAAAGUUUGCGGCUCAACCGUAAAAUUGCAGUUGAAACUGGCAGUCUUGAGUACAGUAGGGGUGGGCGGAAUGCGUGGUGUAGCGGUGAAAUGCUUAGAUAUCACGAAGAACUCCGAUUGCGAAGGCAGUUCACUGGACUGCAACUGACACUGAGGCUCGAAAGUGUGGGUAUCAAACAGGAUUAGAUACCCGGGUAGUC
rnacentral:rRNA from 1 species